rnacentral:rRNA from 1 species
UUAGUUAGUGGUGGGGUAAAGGCUUACCAAGACAAUGAUGCAUAGCCGAGUUGAGAGACUGAUCGGCCACAUUGGGACUGAGACACGGCCCAAAUUCCUACGGGAGGCUGCAGUAGGGAAUCUUCCACAAUGGGCGAAAGCCUGAUGGAGCAACGCCGCGUGUGUGAUGAAGGCUUUCGGGUCGUAAAGCACUGUUGUAUGGGAAGAAAAGUUAAGGUAGGGAAUGACCUUAGCCUGACGGUACCAUACCAGAAAGGGACGGCUAAAUACGUGCCAGCAGCCGCGGUAAUACGUAUGUCCCGAGCGUUAUCCGGAUUUAUUGGGCGUAAAGCGAGCGCAGACGGUUGGUUAAGUCUGAUGUGAAAGCCCGGAGCUCAACUCCGGAAAGGCAUUGGAAACUGGUUAACUUGAGUGCAGUAGAGGUAAGUGGAACUCCAUGUGUAGCGGUGGAAUGCGUAGAUAUAUGGAAGAACACCAGCGGCGAAGGCGGCUUACUGGACUGUAACUGACGUUGAGGCUCGAAAGUGUGGGUAGCAAACAGGAUUAGAUACCCUGGUAGUCCACACCGUAAACGAUGAACACUAGGUGUUAGGAGGUUUCCGCCUCUUAGUGCCGAAGCUAACGCAUUAAGUGUUCCGCCUGGGGAGUACGACCGCAAGGUUGAAACUCAAAGGAAUUGACGGGGACCCGCACAAGCGGUGGAGCAUGUGGUUUAAUUCGAAGCAACGCGAAGAACCUUACCAGGUCUUGACAUCCUUUGAAGCUUUUAGAAAUAGAAGUGUUCUCUUCGGAGACAAAGUGACAGGUGGUGCAUGGUCGUCGUCAGCUCGUGUCGUGAGAUGUUGGGUUAAGUCCCGCAACGAGCGCAACCCUUAUUGUUAGUUGCCAGCAUUCAGAUGGGCACUCUAGCGAGACUGCCGGUGACAAACCGGAGGAAGGCGGGGACGACGUCAGAUCAUCAUGCCCCUUAUGACCUGGGCUACACACGUGCUACAAUGGCGUAUACAACGAGUUGCCAACCUGCGAAGGUGAGCUAAUCUCUUAAAGUACGUCUCAGUUCGGACUGCAGUCUGCAACUCGACUGCACGAAGUCGGAAUCGCUAGUAAUCGCGGAUCAGCACGCCGCGGUGAAUACGUUCCCGGGUCUUGUACACACCGCCCGUCACACCAUGGAAGUUUGUAAUGCCCAAAGCCGGUGGCCUAACCGUAAGGAGGGAACCG